CCUACGGGAGGCAGCAGUGAGGAAUAUUGGUCAAUGGACGAAAGUCUGAACCAGCCAAGUAGCGUGCAGGAUGACGGCCCUAUGGGUUGUAAACUUCUUUUGUACGGGGAUAAAGGCCUGUACGUAUAUAGUUCUGUAUGUACCGUACGAAUAAGGAUCGGCUAACUCCGUGCCAGCAGCCGCGGUAAUACGGAGGAUCCGAGCGUUAUCCGGAUUUAUUGGGUUUAAAGGGAGCGUAGGCGGACGCUUAAGUCAGAUGUGAAAUUCUGCGGCUCAACCGCGGAAUUGCAGUUGAUACUGGUCGUCUUGAGGGCAGCAGAGGUAGGCGGAAUGCGUGGUGUAGCGGUGAAAUGCUUAGAUAUCACGAAGAACACCGAUUGCGAAGGCAGCUUACCGGGCUGUGACUGACGCUGAGGCUCGAAAGUGUGGGUAUCAAACAGGAUUAGAUACCCGAGUAGUC
rnacentral:rRNA from 1 species